rnacentral:misc_RNA from 1 species
AACGAGGCCGACCUGCGGCUGAGUUACCUGCGGAGGGAUCAUUAAUAGAGUGUAACCCCCCUGUAAAAAAGUGGGGUAACCUCCCGUCCUUUGCUAGUCCCCUAUUUUAGGGGGUCUUUUAUUUUGACUUUGCUUCGGUGGGGUAACCCACCGGAACACCCUCAAAAAUUCUUGAUUUUCAAAAAAUUGUUCAGUCCGAGAUAAAGUUUUAAAAUAAAUGAAAACUUUUAACAAUGGAUC